UAUUAAAAAUUUCAUUCAUUUUUACUGUUAAAAACUAGCAUUGCUAACAGAACAAUCAAAUAGUGACAUGUGGUGUUCCAGGUGUACUUCAUGUUAACAUAUGGGAACCAGUCUUUAACGGUAGAAAUAGAUGUAAUUUUUAAUC
rfam:Gossypium hirsutum cultivar TM-1 chromosome 21, whole genome shotgun sequence